rnacentral:rRNA from 1 species
GCAUAUCAAUAAGCGGAGGAAAAGAAACCAACAGGGAUUGCCUCAGUAACGGCGAAGUGAAGCGGCAAGAGCUCAAAUUUGAAAUCUGGCUCCUUCGGGGUCCGAAGUUGUAAUUUGUAGAGGAUGCUUCGGGUGCGGCCCCCGUCUAAGUGCUCUGGAACGGGCCAUCGGAGAGGGUGAAAAUCCCGUCUGGGACGGGGUGUCCGCGUCCAUGUGAAGCUCCUUCGACGAGUCGAGUUGUUUGGGAAUGCAGCUCUAAAUGGGUGGUAAAUUUCAUCUAAAGCUAAAUACUGGCCGGAGACCGAUAGCGCACAAGUAGAGUGAUCGAAAGAUGAAAAGCACUUUGAAAAGAGAGUUAAACAGCACGUGAAAUUGUUGAAAGGGAAGCGCUUGCGACCAGACUCGCUUCCGGGGUUCAGCCGGCUUUCGGGCCGGUGUACUUCCCCGGGGGCGGGCCAGCGUCGGUUUGGGCGGCCGGUCAAAGGCCCCUGGAAUGUAACGCCCCUCGGGGCGCCUUAUAGCCAGGGGUGUCAUGCGGCCAGCCUGGACCGAGGAACGCGCUUCGGCACGGACGCUGGCAUAAUGGUCGUAAACGACCCGUCUUGAAACACGGACCAAGGAGUCUAACAUCUACGCGAGUGUUCGGGUGUCAAACCCGUGCGCGCAGUGAAAGCGAACGGAGGUGGGAGCCCCCUUGCGGGGCGCACCAUCGACCGAUCCUGAUGUCUUCGGAUGGAUUUGAGUAAGAGCGUAGCUGUGGGGACCCGAAAGAUGGUGAACUAUGCCUGAAUAGGGCGAAGCCAGAGGAAACUCUGGUGGAGGCUCGCAGCGGUUCUGACGUGCAAAUCGAUCGUCAAAUUUGGGUAUAGGGGGCGAAAGACUAAUCGAACCAUCUGGUAGCUGGUUCUGC